UGGGGAAUAUUGCACAAUGGGCGAAAGCCUGAUGCAGCGACGCCGCGUGAGGGAUGACGGCCUUCGGGUUGUAAACCUCUUUCAGCAGGGAAGAAGCGAAAGUGACGGUACCUGCAGAAGAAGCGCCGGCUAACUACGUGCCAGCAGCCGCGGUAAUACGUAGGGCGCAAGCGUUGUCCGGAAUUAUUGGGCGUAAAGAGCUCGUAGGCGGCUUGUCACGUCGGGUGUGAAAGCCCGGGGCUUAACCCCGGGUCUGCAUCCGAUACGGGCAGGCUAGAGUGUGGUAGGGGAGAUCGGAAUUCCUGGUGUAGCGGUGAAAUGCGCAGAUAUCAGGAGGAACACCGGUGGCGAAGGCGGAUCUCUGGGCCAUUACUGACGCUGAGGAGCGAAAGCGUGGGGAGCGAACAGGAUUAGAUACCCUGGUAGUCCACGCCGUAAACGUUGGGAACUAGGUGUUGGCGACAUUCCACGUCGUCGGUGCCGCAGCUAACGCAUUAAGUGCCCCGCCUGGGGAGUACGGCCGCAAGGCUA
rnacentral:rRNA from 3 species